ACACGACGGUCUUCCGUUCGCUCGGCGUCGAGCCGCCGGGCGCCGGAACACGUCUUCACGCGAAGCGGCGGACGGUACGGGGCUGUAGCGUUGGCGUCGGACUCGGCAUCCCGGGCGCCUUUCCGGCCGUCGCUGCCGCAGGCAACUCGUUUCGCGCCGGUGCGCGGUCGCGCCUUUGGUUAACGGGGGUC